AGGACAUGAUUCUGCACAACAGCGGAACCUCCUAGCUGCCAAAGUGGAUGCACAGUGCGAAAAAGACCAACACUCCUCGCUGGGCAAAGGAGGGCCGUCCUUGGGCUUCACCGGGGCAGGCAGCCAGGCACGGGGUCUGGCCGGGGCACCGGCACAAAGUUCAUGGGGCACAGCAGCAGUGGGCACAUCUUCUCGUGCUCCUUCAGCGCCUCACUCAGGUGCUUCAGCUCCUCCGUCAGCUUCCCGAUCUCCCUCCGCAGCACUGCGUUUUCUUGCUCCAGGCAUUCAUAUUCCUGGCGAGACAGAGAAUACACGAAAUUGGUGCUGAAACCACCUGCCCUUCCUCGGUCCUCCCGGCACAUCGAAUCCUUGCCACAAGGCUCACCCCGGUCCCUGAAAGCGUUCUCAUGAGCUGAGCCCACCUCCACCACUCAGAUUAGUUUGUUUCUUCCCUCCCCACCGGCAAGAAAGGCUCACAAAGGCCAGGCUUUGGUUUUUUUGUUUUUCCAGGGGACUUCUGGCUGAGCCUGAGGCAUUUAGAAGUUCCUGGGCCAGGGAUCGAGCCAGGACCACAGCAGUGGCAAGGCUGAACGCUUCAUUGCUAGGCCACCAAGGAACUCCUUGGGCAAGCGGCUUUGAUUUUUCGCCUCAUCUUUAUCGCGGUAUAAUUUACAUAAGAUAAAAUGCACCCACUUUAAGUGUAUGAUUCAAUGAGUUUUGACAAAUGCAAACAACUAUGUUGAGAAAGAACAUUCCCACGCACUGAAAAGUUCCCAGUUUCCCUUUGGAGUCAGCUGCCCCUCCCCCAGCCACUGAUCUGCUUUCUGAAGGUCUCUGUCGGGUUCCCUGCACCAGCCCCAGCACCUGGAACAGAGCCUGGAACAUAACAAAUGUUUGGUGCGUGCUGAGUAAAUGAAGGACCACAUUCCUCGCCUUGGCUCCACUCCAACACUCACCUGUUAAGUCUGUGCUACGUCAGAGUUUCCAGAGGCUCUAAACUAGGGGAGGUCAGAGACCCCCUUAGCCACACCCAGACAGUGUAGAAACUAUCCCCAUGUCAUUCAUCCAACUUGUCCUGGGCAUUCUCUCCUUCAAAGGACAGUCUGAGCUGCCUAUUAGAAAGUUCCUCUUUGUACUGAUCCAAACUCACUCUCUCCUUCAAACCCACCUACGGGGCUUGGUUCCACCUAUGGAACCACAGAGAGUACAUGCAAUACUUUUCCAACGCCACGGUUCUUGAAAUGUUAGGAGACAGCCCCAUACCACUUCCCCUUAGGUAUUCUCUGAACCCAACUGUUUCAGGUCCUCUGAGUACCUUGGGUUUUAGGACUUGUGGUCCCUCUGCCCUCCUGGAGGCCAUCCCUGGCACAUGCUCUGAUGUGCCAGGAGCUCUGAGAAAAUGUUCCCCAAAUGCAGUGCAUGAUUCUGGGGAUGGUCCAACCGUGCAGAGGGCAGAUGCGUGCAGGCGGUCUGCUCUGGGCUGGCCCUAAAUGCACAGCCGCCUCGCUCGGGGGAUUCUUCUGGAAUCUGCACAGAAGUGCAGGCGCGGUCUGCAUCUGCCGCUUCUCUGUCUGUCCUUGAAAUACGAUUGAUAUUUUGGCUUAAGGAUGGCCUUUACAUCCGCUUCUCCUGAAUUUCACCCUGUUUGCUUGGGCAUCUUCCAGCCUAGCAAAAUCUUUUUGAAUUUGAUUGUGUCAGCUCGUGAAUUAGUGAUACCGCGCAGCUCAAAGCUGUUCCCUAACUUGAUGAGGCAGAUCCUUUUCUUCAUUCAACUCAUUAAAAGUCCUACGAUGCUUGGUCGCUUGCAGAGCCCUGCAGUACACCAAUAGAAACAUUCUUAAGGCUGACAGUCUGAAUUGCCUCUUGUUGAAAUGUCGCUUUCAAUCAUUUCUAGGCUUAGAGUCAUAUGACUACGAUUCGUAUGCUUAGGCUUCGUCGUACCAUGCACGUUAUGCAUUGCCUGAGCUGGAGAUCAACCUUAUUAUCUUACCAGUAAUUUUUAAGAAAGAUUACUUUAAAAGUCUGAUCUUUUCACAAGCCAUGAAGACACAUGCAAAUUCUCAUCUCUGCCCUUUUCCUAACGCUGUCAGCUGCCUUCCUCCUUUUUUUGUGUGGGCCCAGCUCAAGACCACCACUUCCAGGAAGGCUUCCCUGAUCACAGCACCUGGCCGAACCACAUCUCUCAUUAUAUGCUCUUUUUUUUUUUUUGCAUUUAAAAAAAAUUUUUAUUAUAGUUGAUUUAUAACGUUCUGUCAAUUUCUGCUGUGUAGCCCUCAUUAUGCGUUCUCAUCAGUCUUGUAUCAUUAUCCAUCUUCCUUAUAUCAAAUAAGAUCUCUCCCCAAAGAUGUGAACCAUAGAGAAACUAGGGGCCUCUGCCACCUUGUCCCGUAUGCCUGCCUCAUGGACCCCAGUGCUGGCAUCUACAGGCUCAAUGACUCCCCACGCCUUGCCCUAGGGCUCCUUCUCUCACCCCCUCCCUGCCCUUCCUCCCCCUUUAGGCAUAUUCCUCUGUCUCAGAACAAAGGCCCCAGAGGGGCUGUGUGCCGAGGCCACCGGAACCAUCCCUCUGCCUCCUAUUUUUCCCAGGCAAACUCUCAGGGUGGCCUGGAAUACUGUCCAUGGCAGGAAGCCUCGCCCUCCUCCCCAAAGGCUGUCCUGGGGCAGCUGGGCUUCACUAGUCAGCCCCGUUCUGCCCUUCUGCCCGCAGCUACCACCCCCAACGCCCCACCAUCCCCUCUGGCUUCUGACAAGCUCUAGGCCUGGAAUCAGAAUUCAGUCUCCCAACAGAGCCAGAGGUCCUGCACGGGCAGGCAGAGUCUGGAUGGAGGCCGAGGAGACUACAGCUCGUGGUGCGCGUGCACACGCGGGCGCACACACAUACACACACACUCGCCCUCCACCUGUGACUGGAAAUUCUCUUCACCUCCAAGUAAAACGGAGAAAACAUUUGAAUGGUUCCAAUAAGCCAAGAUUUUAAUUAGAUUCCAAAGAAGAGAAAAAUCGCUUCUUGUGGCAGACUAUUCCAACUGCCUUUAUAUAGUCACCGAAUUUGCAGCAAGAUGCUUGUAAGCCCUCUGGAGGCCACAGGGGCCACGCUACCUGAGUCCCCUGCUUUCCCUGGACCCUCCUCAGAAAGGCCACAGAGCUGCCCAUCACAGGCGCCCUGCAGGCCCCAGGGCUGCUUCUCCUCGGGGACUUUAUCUUCUGGGAUUUGAAUUUUACUCAUCAAUCUGCAGGGGGGGCUUUUCUCAGGCGGAGAGAACAAAAAGGAAAGAAGAAGUCAAAAUCUUCUUCAGGUGAAGCCAGUUCCACAAAAAUAAAAGGGGGUGCUGGGGGUGGGGAGGAAGAGGAGGUGAGAACACUGAGUGGGGACAAAGGGGACCAAGUCAGACCCACUUCACCCAAGAAGAAAUUACCUGAAUUUAAUUUACAGGAAAAACAAGCCAAAACCAUUAGAUCCUUUGUUCCUUCUAAAGAGACCAUCAGUUUAGCUCAAAUCUUGCUGAGUUUCGAAUCUCUUGCUCCGGAGGGAUUUGAAGUCACUGUCUGCCUUCUCUGGGUAUUUGCAGGACACAGUCCCAAAGCAGAGACUAGAAACUGGAGGUGAUGAAAUCACUGCAAAUCCCAGUUCUGUCUCAGAAACUAAGCUGCUAUCUAGGGCAGUGAUUCUCAACAAGGGCAAUUCUGGCAGUCCCCAGGGGACAUCUGGAGUGUUCAGAGGCAGUUUGGGUUGUCACUGCUGGGAAGGUGCCUUGCCGUCUCCAGUAAGUCAAGGCCAUAGAUGCUGCUCAAUAUCGUACAGUGCACAGGACACCUCCCGAGAUGAGGAAACAGCUGGCCCUAAAUCGCAGGAGUGGUGAGACUGAGAAACCCUGGUCUGGGCUCAAAGAGAUGGAUCUGGGGGGAUUUGGAUCCAGGAUGCCUUUGAGGCAAAAGAUGGGUAAAGAAGCUAAUGUAGCUACCAGGGCCCAAGAUGAUAACUAAGGCAAAAAGGAAAGGAGGGGAAGGAAAAGGCCAUCAGGACCACACAGACCCCAUUCCCAAGCAAGACAAGUGAAACGCAUUGGCGCAGUGACUCUUCCAAGGUCAUGCCUACUUGGGACCUGAUCCCCGAGUCCAAGGUCAACUGCAAGUGCCACGCAAUGACAGCAAUUCUGCUUUCACUUGGCAGUGCCUGGACCUGAAUUCCCCCCAUGGUGGUUACCAGCAGUAAAGGGCCAUGAGAGCUCAGGAUUUUACAGUAAGUCCAUCCCCAAGCCUUAAGCUCAUACACUUCCCAGCAGAAAAAUUGUGUCACCAGCAAGGGUUGUACAAAUAAAUGUCAUCAUCAGUUUCUAAACCCAGGGACGGUGGCCAUGAAGCAGGCUCUUAGAAUAUGCAAUAUCUGAAAACACCAGGGUAACACAUACCACAAUCGUAUUGCCCAAGAAAGUUGUCGGUUUGUGACAUUUGGGGUUCCUGAGGAUGGCACUGCUGCCUUCCUUUUCUGACUCAAAAUCCUUUCUCAGUCUUACACCUAUGGGCGCCUGGCUUGAACCAGCGUGACCCACUUCUGAGCCACUUUCAACUUGGCUUAGACAACUGGACGGUUCUCUUGGGUUCCCAUUUGUCAGUCUGGACUCAGGCGUGUGCCUGAUGUUCAGAGAUGAAUAGGGGUCAAAAUCCCCAUGAAAGGGGAAAAUGCCUUGAAGGGAUGACUUGAAAAAGCCACCGUGAACAGCAAGGCACACAGACACCUACUGGGAUCCACUUCUCAUCACUGCAGUGUGACUUCCAGCAACACCACCCUGAGGGGAGAACUCAAACAGCUCUGAAGAGUGACUCCAGCCUCUCUCAGGCUCUCCUCCUGCCCUGCUGUGCAGGGGGUUCUGCCCCGAUGGGCGGUUCCCUGGUUCUGGGGAUGCAGAGCUGGGGGAGGAGGCAGGUGGCCGAGAGACUUAAGAUUCGGGAUUGGAGGGAGGUUUUCCGGUUGUUGGAGGAAAGCGAGGCUCCAGAACUGACUGGGCAGGUGAGACAGGUGGGGCGUGUAUGCACACCUUGCUCUAAACAGUCCCCUUCGUGGUAUUCGGGAAAGGCAAAGAAAGAUCUUGAGUUGCUUGGAGAGAGUCUGCAACACUAGCCCACAGUAUGGAAUAGAGGAAUUCAUGGGAUAAAGGCCCCAGGGAGUAGCAGGCAGUCAUGGCCAGCAGUCAUGGCCAGCAGGUGUGAGCUGGCCUCCUUCUGCAUUUGAGGAGAAGGUUUCCAUGCACUGUGUCUGGCUCUUACUCUUCCAACCGAGAUGUGGCCUGGGAGCCCCAGGGGGCCUGAGGGGCUUUCAGCUGUGACCCACAGCAGUGUGCUAGCUCCUCUGCCUUCAACCCACUGGGGCAUAGUAAAUUGAUUCUUCAUCUCAUUUUUUAACCCGACAUCCCACUCUCAAUAUGCACUUUUUUUUUUCUCCUUUUUUGUGGCAUAUGGAAGUUCCCGGGCUAGGGGUCAAAACAGAGCUGCAGCUGCGGGCCUAUGCCAGAGCCGUAGCAACGCCAGAUCUGAGCUGCAUUUUUGUGUGACCUAUGCCACAGCUUGUGACAAGGCCAGGGAUGGAACCCACAUCCUGACACACACUAUGUCAGGUUCUUAACCUGCUGAGCCACAAUGGGAACUCCCAGAUGUUGUUCAGAGUUCAUACAAGUGACUAGUGACACCAGUGACCAGUGACACCUGUGUGUAGCCAGUGAUGCUAAAGGUGUGGACUUCCACUUUGGGGCCUGUGCAUGGGUGGCACUGCUGUCCUGGCCCCCCUGACACUGUGGUUCUCAAAGGAACUGGCCUUGCUGCAGGGGGGAUCUGCCAGCAGUGCACCAUCGUGCGCUAUUCUUGCAGCUCCACAGAGAAAGAGCAGGCGUGGACGUUCCUCCCUGCAAGGCCUGGGCUGCAGAUCAAUCAGCCCCCUUCCUGGAAGGAGCAACUAACGCAGUUAUGUUUCUGGAUGGCAGAAUAAGCUAGGGACCCUCUGAAAGGCCCUCCACCCACUGUUCUCAGAGAGACGAGGCAGAAGCAAAUGUGGCAAACCGGCCCUAAAUUUCCCAGGUAUCUGGUUCAUCUGGCUAUCAAAUCCAAGAAGGACAGAAAUGGAGACCCACCUUUUUUCUGACCCUGUAUGCAAGCAUUUGUUGAAGGUAGGCAGGACAAUGCCUCUCAAAGAUGUUCACACUUCGGAACCUGCGAAUAUGUUACCUUACGCGGCAAAGGGGACUUUGCAGAUGUGAUUUUACGUUAAGGGUCUUAAAAUAGGGGGGUACACCUGGAUCAGGCAGAUGGCCCCAAGGUAAUCCGAGGGUCUUCAUAAGGGAAAGAGUCGGGAAUCAGAGGAGACGUGGCCACAGAAACUGUCAGAGUAAUGCAGCAUGAGAAAGACUCAGCUGGCCGGUGCCCGCUUUGAAAAUGGAAGGGCAGGAUUCCACUGGGUAUUUGUGUACCACAUCCUCUUAACCCACUCAUCUGUCAACAGACAUCU
rnacentral:lncRNA from 1 species